UACAGAGGGUGCGAGCGUUGUCCGGAAUCACUGGGCGUAAAGGGCGCGUAGGUGGCUCUAUAAGUCGGGGGUGAAAUGCUGCGGCUCAACCGCAGCGCUGCCUCCGAGACUGUAGGGCUCGAGCACGGUAGAGGCCGAUGGAAUUCCCGGUGUAGCGGUGGAAUGCGUAGAGAUCCGGAAGAACACCGGUGGCGAAGGCGGCCCGCUGGGCAGAGACUGACGCUGAGGCGCGACAGCGUGGGGAGCAAACAGG
rnacentral:rRNA from 1 species